GGGCCCGUAGCUCAGCUAGGUCAGAGCGCCAGGCUCAUAACCUGUUGGUCCCCGGUUCGAGUCCGGGCGGGCCCA
rnacentral:tRNA from 1 species